UGGGCAACCUGCCCCUCUCUCUGGGAUAACCCCGGGAAACCGGAGCUAAUACCGGAUACUCCGGCUGGAUCGCAUGGUCCGGCCGGGAAAGGUCCGCCGGAGAGGGAUGGGCCCGCGGCCUAUCAGCUUGUUGAUGGGGUCAUGGCUCACCAAGGCGACGACGGGUAGCUGGUCUGAGAGGAUGGCCAGCCACAUUGGGACUGAGACACGGCCCAGACCCCUACGGGAGGCA
rnacentral:rRNA from 1 species